rnacentral:rRNA from 1 species
CCUACGGGUGGCAGCAGUGAGGAAUAUUGGUCAAUGGGCGCGAGCCUGAACCAGCAAAGUAGCGUGAAGGAUGACUGCCCUACGGGUUGUAAACUUCUUUUAUAAAGGAGUAAAGUGAGGCAUGUGUGCCUUUUUGUAUGUACCUUAUGAAUAAGGAUCGGCUAACUCCGUGCCAGCAGCCGCGGUAAUACGGAGGAUGCGAGCGUUAUCCGGAUUUAUUGGGUUUAAAGGGAGCGUAGAUGGGUUGUUAAGUCAGUUGUGAAAGUUUGCGACUCAACCGUAGAAUUGCAAUUGAUACUGGCAGUCUUGAGUACAGUUGAGGUAGGCGGAAUUCGUGGUGUAGCGGUGAAAUGCUUAGAUAUCACGAAGAACUCCGAUGGCGAAGGCAGCUUACUAGACUGCCACUGACAGUGAGGCGCGAAAGUGUGGGUAUCAAACAGGAUUAGAUACCCUGGUAGUC